GACGAACGCUGGCGGCGUGCCUAAUACAUGCAAGUAGAACGCACAGUUUAUACCGUAGCUUGCUACACCAUAGACUGUGAGUUGCGAACGGGUGAGUAACGCGUAGGUAACCUGCCUGGUAGCGGGGGAUAACUAUUGGAAACGAUAGCUAAUACCGCAUAAUAUUAAUUAUUGCAUGAUAAUUAAUUGAAAGGUGCAAUUGCACCACUACCAGAUGGACCUGCGUUGUAUUAGCUAGUAGGUGAGGUAACGGCUCACCUAGGCGACGAUACAUAGCCGACCGGAGAGGGUGGUCGGCCACACUGGGACUGAGACACGGCCCAGACUCCUACGGGAGGCAGCAGUAGGGAAUCUUCGGCAAUGGACGAAAGUCUGACCGAGCAACGCCGCGUGAGUGAAGAAGGUUUUCGGAUCGUAAAGCUCUGUUGUAAGAGAAGAACGGGUGUGAGAGUGGAAAGUUCACACUGUGACGGUAUCUUACCAGAAAGGGACGGCUAACUACGUG
rnacentral:rRNA from 1 species